CAUUAGCUAGACGGCGGGGUGACGGCCCACCGUGGCGACGAUGCGUAGGGGUUCUGAGAGGAAGGCCCCCCACACUGGGACUGAGACACGGCCCAGACUCCUACGGGAGGCAGCAGUGAGGAAUAUUGGUCAAUGGGCGGAAGCCUGAACCAGCCAAGUCGCGUGAGGGAUUAAGGCCCUGCGGGUCGUAAACCUCUUUUGCCGGGGAGCAGUGGUCCGGACGCGUCCGGGCCGGGAGAGUACCCGGAGAAAAAGCAUCGGCUAACUCCGUGCCAGCAGCCGCGGUAAUACGGAGGAUGCGAGCGUUAUCCGGAUUUAUUGGGUUUAAAGGGUGCGUAGGCGGGCAUUUAAGCCGGCGGUCAAAUGUCGGGGCUCAACCCCGGCCUGCCGUCGGAACUGGGUGCCUUGAGUGGGCGAGAAGUAUGCGGAAUGCGUGGUGUAGCGGUGAAAUGCAUAGAUAUCACGCAGAACCCCGAUUGCGAAGGCAGCAUACCGGCGCCCUACUGACGCUGAGGCACGAAAGUGCGGGUAUCGAACAGGAUUAGAUACCCUGGUAGUCCGCACAGUAAACGAUGGAUGCUAUCUGUCCGGGCCGAAUGAGGCCUGGGUGGC
rnacentral:rRNA from 1 species